AGCGAACGCUGGCGGCAGGCUUAACACAUGCAAGUCGAGCGCCCCUCCUUCAGAGGACAGAGGACGGACGACAGGGGACCGAAUUCAGCAAGCCCGAUGGGCUGGCGGUUCGGUUGAAUGUCGUUUUCACGGACGAUCCGUCGUCCGUCGUCUGACGUCUGUCUUCUGAUGGAGGGGAGCGGCAGACGGGAGAGUAACACGUGGGAACGUACCCUUCGGUUCGGAACAACCCAGGGAAACUUGGGCUAAUACCGGAUACGUCCGUAAGGA
rnacentral:rRNA from 1 species